CAUAUUGUUCACCAGUAAGAAAAACAAAAUAAGGUUUGAUGUUUCACAAAAAACAAGGACAUACACGUCCAUCAACCUUGAUUUGGAAAUGCAAGACAUGAGAAACAUGUUAAACAUCUUAUUUAUUUUAAAAAAUAAUAUUUUUUUCGUCCACCUGUUGGGAAGAGUCCUCGAGGACUAUGGAAACACCCACAGAGCAGCAGGAACUAUUGUUGAAGGACUUCCUGGGUUUUGAAGUGUUUUUAUUUCAUUUUAUAUAUUUUAAUUGUAAAUACAUUAUUGUAUGAAAAAAUGAUAAAUGAUGAGUUUUUCAAACGUAUCAGGGAUUUACUCUUCAGAAAAACUGAUGCUCAGCUCAGUGACCCCGGUGUGAUGGUAAUACAUAACACGAAGCAAACUGGGCAAGACCUCUUUGCCUUUUACUUUGAAAAGCGGGCACCGGAAGCGUCGUCGCAGCUGUUGUAGCUUGAAGCUAACAGGUGGGGAACAUGUCGGCUUGUGUCAGAGCGUUGAAAAGCCGUUUGUCGGCUCUUUGUCCGGCUGGUUUCACCUCACUGCUCCGGAGGAAUCAUCCGGUGAGAUUUCCCGCCGGAGGACGGCGGAUGUCACACACACAGACAGGUACCGAGCCGGAGCUGAGGUUAGCUGGCUAAUGUUAGCAGCCCCGUUAGUCUGCUACCUGCUGGCUGCUCACACGAAACCUGGAAAGAACUUAAACUGACAUUUCUCCAUUGGUCUAUCUUACCUGUUAAGGUGACAAAGAAGCUGCUGGUGCUGCUUCUGAAGCAGUUGCCUUGGUUACCAAUGUUGGUGUGUUGGCUUCCCAGGAUGGCGGCCGGAUUGAUGACACCACAUCUUCAAUGUGGACCCCCGGAGGAGCCUGUUGUCUCAUUGAGGCAUGGAUUCUCUCUGCAUCCAGGACACAUGGAGACACAGAGGCGCCACCUCAGCUGCAUUCAGGACCCAGCAGGUGCAGCUGUACGGAGACAGGUAGACUGACGAAGGGCGGGGUCAGCCUUCUGGUUUCCACCUUAACCACUUCAUCCCAGGUACAUGCGGGUGUCUCAGAGCUUGUGAUUAAGUAUAAUGUGUAUUAUUAUUUCAUGCAAACAUAAAAUUCAUUUUUGAUCCUGAACUCGGGCUCUGCAAACUGGGCCAGUGUUAGCCGCCUGGUGGAGGCCGUUUGCAACCAGCUCUGCGUCUUCACCCGGUGGCCACGUGGUCCAGAGGGACCGUGAGGACUCGCUGGUCAUUAUGUGGCCAUCAGAGAGGAAGUGCUGGUCGGCCCCAGGUUGAUGGCUCAGACCAACAUCCAGCUCUUUGGAUUGAAUCGAGGACUCAGUGGUGCUGGCCAGACUCUCCCUUCAGCAAAGGGUCUGUGCUUAGUCAGUCCUUUAACUUCAGUGUCCCGGAGGAGCAGCCUGGGCCUUACGAUUUGGAUUACCUUCAAAAUAAAAGUCUCAGCAUGGUAAGAGGGAAUUA